AUUGAACGCUGGCGGCAGGCCUAACACAUGCAAGUCGAGCGGAGCGGCGGACGGGUGAGUAAUGCCUAGGAAUCUGCAUGGUAGUGGGGGCUAACGUCCGGUAACGGGCGCUAAUACCACAUACUCUCAGAUGAGCCUAGGUCGGAUUGGCUAGUUGUUGGGGUAAAGGCAUACCAAGGCCACGAUCCCUAACUGGUCUGAGAGGAUGAUCAGUCACACUGGAACUGAGACACGGUCCAGACUCCUACGGGAGGCAGCAGUGGGGAAUAUUGGACAAUGGGCGAAAGCCUGAUCCAGCCAUGCCGCGUGUGUGAAGAAGGUCUUCGGAUUGUAAAGCACUUUAAGUUGGGAGGCGUUACCCACAGAAUAAGCACCGGCUAACUCCGUGCCAGCCGCCGCGGUAAUUC
rnacentral:rRNA from 1 species